CCAACGGCACUCAGCCCAAACUAUUGCCCCCAUACAGGUGACAUCAUUCAGAUCGUUGGUCGGUCCAUAGAAUUAGUAUCAUGGACCAGCCUCAGGAGGAUCCGUUGGUCCAACCCGCGAACCAGGAUGAUAAACAAUCCAUUGCAGCCAUGGCGCCAAAACACACCAUUUAUGUAAACAACCUCAAUGAUAGGAUCAAGAUUGAACCCAUGAAACAGGCCCUUCAUGCAGCAUUCUCACAAUUCGGUCCCAUCAGUGAUAUUGUGAUGCGUAAAUCCUACCGACUCAGAGGCCAGGCUUUCAUCAUAUUCAGAGAUAUCGAGAGUGCAGCCAGGGCGCUGAGAACGAUGCAGGGUUACAUAUUUUACGAUAGACCACUCAGAUUACAGUACUCCAAGACAGAGGCAGAUUCCAUCACAAAACAACGCGGCACAUUUGUACAGAGGCCUCCUAAGCCUAAGUUGGAGAUCAGAAAGAAGGAGAGGAGCCAAACGAAUGGUGGUGUUGAGCAAAACAAUAGAAUGGUCCAAGAGGUCAUGGACCAGGAGCCGAACAAGAUUCUAUUCUUGACCAAUCUACCUGAGGAAACUAACGAGGCGAUGUUAA
rnacentral:lncRNA from 1 species